rnacentral:rRNA from 1 species
GCAAGUCGAACGCGAAAGUUUUCUUCGGAAAACGAGUAGAGUGGCGCACGGGUGAGUAACGCGUAAGUAAUCUACCCUGGCAUCUGGGAUAACCCACCGAAAGGUGUGCUAAUACCGGAUACGUUGAUUUAUCAAGAAAGGUGGCCUCUGAUUUAAGCUACCGUGCCGGGAGGAGCUUGCGUACCAUUAGCUAGUUGGUGGGGUAAUGGCCUACCAAGGCGACGAUGGUUAACGGGUCUGAGAGGAUGAUC